CCUGCCCCUAGAGGUAUUGUAGGUGUGGCUGCUAUGUCAUAUGUACAUCAUGGGGUGGCAGAGAGGAGAGAAGCUGUCUAUGCUAAGCGUGUUGACCUAUGAAUAUCUGAAUGGUUAGUAGCCUAACAUC